rnacentral:lncRNA from 1 species
GAGAUUUUGGGUUUGCUGCCAAGACAUCUUAUUUGAUGUGUUUUGUGGCAGCGGGUGACUCAUAGCAUGAGUCGGUGCGUUCCGGGACAUUUCAGUGGUCCCGACGGAGUCCCGGUACGAUUUUCGGGACUUCCGGCGAGUUACGGUAGUCGGUUUUAGGAAACCGAUCUCAGUGGGAUUGUUUGUGGGGUUGUACGUUUAGUGUUUUAUAUUCGUGGGUUAGAUACUAACCUAGUGGACCCUCCGUAGGUCCGGUUUACGAUCUUUUGCAGUCAGGAGACAGGCGCGACAUUCGUACAGGUGGGUACUUCGAUCCGACGUUGGUACAGUGGUGCACGCUCGGUGAUGGUUUCUUACCCUUGCUCUUUUGUUAUUAUCCAUGCAUAUAUUAUAUGUUGAGCUUUGCACCUCUAUUGUUUACAUUACACCCACGUUGUUUGGUUAUACUCUGCUCGUUGUUUACAUGCUUAGUAUCCUCAGUAGGAGUAGAGUAGUUUAACUGUAUAUGAUACUAUGUUUCCAUAUUGCUCUACUUGCCUGUUCUACAUAUCCUGUAUUCU